CGGGAAGAGCCCAUCGCUGAAUCCCACAGUCCGACCGGGUUGCGGGAGUUGUAGCGUGAGGCGGCUUCGGGCGCGCGAGUCCACGAUGCCGAGGUCCUCCUGAUCGGGGCACCUUACCCAGAGCGGGUGUCAGGCCCGUUCGGGCGUCGGGUCUCGCGAGCCUGGAGCCACCAAGAGUCGGGUAGUUUUGGAAUGCUGCCCAAAGAUGGGUGGUGAACUCCAUCCAAG
rnacentral:rRNA from 1 species